rnacentral:rRNA from 1 species
UUAAGUCAGGCAACGAGCGAGACCCACGCCCACAGUUGCCAGCGUACUCUCCGGAGUGACGGGUACACUGUUGGGACCGCCGCUGCUAAAGCGGAGGAAGGAAUGGGCAACGGUAGGUCAGUAUGCCCCGAAACUCUGGGGCCACACGCGGGCUGCAAUGGUAAUGACAAUGUGUUCCAAAUCCGAAAGGAGGCGGUAAUCCUCAAACAUUACCACAGUUAUGACUGAGGGCUGCAACUCGCCCUCACGAAUAUGGAAUCCCUAGUAACUGCGUGUCAUUAUCGCGCGGUGAAUACGUCCCUGCUCCUUGCACA